AAUUUCCCUCCAGUAAACUCUUCAAAAUUUCUAAUUUCCCUCCUGUAUCCCAAAAUUUUCCCCUACAUCCACUCAAAUCAGAUCUAAUUGUUCUCUAUCAAUUCUGAUCGAUAAAAAAUCUUUGCAUCACUAUCCCACCACCACACCACCUAUUGAGAAGGGCAGAAGGCCCUUCAUCCUCGUUCGGUAGCCCCUUCAAUAGCCUGUAUGGAUGUUAGGUUCAAGAGGAUUUAUUGCAAUAAGUUUGCUUUACUCGCAGACCAUGACUCAACAGAAGCUCUCACUUCUUUCCGGUGAACGCCAUGGAGGGCGCGGAUUUAGGGAGGUGAACGAAUUUGGUGUGGAGUGAAUACAUGUUUAGGGAUUAGUAGAUAAUACAUGAUAUUCAAAGUUCAAACAAAGCAUUAUCAGAGAUCUUCCUGUCCAGUAGGAUUGCUCCGCCCUUAGCGGUGUCUCUUCCAUAAGGAAAACUACUUCUACGGAAGGUACUGGACAAUCUCAGUUAAGUGCCAUCAUUAGAGAUUGUAUUGUGGCAUAUUUUUUGUAACGCCCCGCGUUUUCAUACUUUCAAUAUUUAGAAACCAUCGUUUGUAAAACUAUUUUUGGAAACUUUGUAUUCUUGUAAUCGUUCUUUCCUUGUAAUCAUUGUAAAUCCGAGACUUGGAUCAUAAAUAAAAUUCGUAUUUCUUUAAAUUCA